UUAUCCGGUAGGUAAGGCCACCGCCGGGGAUAAGGGCUGCUGCCGCGAAGUUGUGGAGACACUACAAGUUGGUUUGAGCAGGUGAUAUCGAACUCAAGGUAUUAUCUAAUGCAGUUUCAUCGCCCCGCGACGCUAAAGCUUGUACGGUAGAU
rnacentral:sRNA from 1 species